GAUAAUUUUCCUUUUCUUACCAAAUCGGCUUACACUCAAAAUUACCUUUGGCGAUUGCCCGAUUCCUUUAUUUCUGGAUCGACUUCAAGUCUGCAAUGCUCACGCGGGUGCAGAUAUAGAACUUUUAUUUUCCUUUAAUUUACAAUCCCCACCUCAAAUCUGUCCCUAUCUACUACUGCUGCCACCAGGGGGACACCGGCGCCAGCACCUGGGCACUUCAGCUCCAAAGCCGGGUCUGAGGUUCUCGCGACCCACCCCCAGAGGGAAACUCCAGGAGCGGGUGGGCGGCCCCUGCCUCCCGGGGUGAGAACUUGGACCCACCAGGGACAUCAGGUGUUAAGUACUCGCGACCCACCCCCAGAGGAACACUCCAAGGAUGAGUGGGCGGCUCCUGGCUUCCGGGGAGAGCCGAGGUAGCCCAAAUGGGGACACCCAGGUGUCAGGUGGAUGCCCCCCGCCGUGACCUUGUUCUCUUGGUACUUGUUUCUUUCCGUUCUCUUUGUGAGGGAGGCCCCGGAGUCUCCACCCAAAUUUGUCCCUGUCUCUUUUAGUCAUUUCUUUUUCCUUUUUUUCCCUUCUUCCAUACAUUCUUUUUUUUUCUUUCCCUUUUCUCCUCUUUUCUUUUUGUGGGGGGGGGGGAGUUGGUGGGGUGCGCCUCUCACUCAUUUUAGGGCCUAAUGCCUUCUAGAGUUUCCGCCCUAUCGGCCCGAUGGGAGUCUCUAUCUGGGCAGUUGGCUUCCCUUGUCUCUCGACCCUAAUUCCCCCUUUUUUUGUUUCUUCCCCUAAUGUCCCACUCCUAAUUUCCGCGUUUUUAGAUGCUGUUGCUUGUGAGUAAGAGAGUGCCAAUAAGAUUGCCGGGUAGGUGUCCCAAAUAGUCUAUGCGUGUUAUAAAUACGCUUUCUCAGUUAUAUUUGAAUUGUAUUUAUAAUGUUUGAUUUACUUGAUUUAUAGUUUUGACAAUUUCUUCUAAAAUCUUGAAUGCGUCUUGAUGGCUUAUUAUUUGUGUUUUGUUUGAUUCUGUGAGGCCUGUUGGGAAAUAUUUUAAGAAUCUGUCUCUAAGGUUUUUUGAGAUUGGGCAAGUUUCUAGAUAGUGAUUAAAGUUUUUAGCUGUAUUGCCUUAUGCACAGUUUUCGUCUUGUGUUUUGUUAAUUUUUUUAAAGUAGAAUGGAAAUUUGCCAUGGUUUGUUAGUAGUUGUGUUUCGUAAUGGCUAGCUGGGAAGUUAGUUGGAAUGUUAUGUGGUGAGGGUAUCCAUUUGUAUAGGGGGGAAUUUCUGUCUUUUUCGUUCCAUCGGGUGUUCCAAAUCUCUAUUAAUUUGGAGUCAAUUUCUUUUUUUAUGUAGUUUCUAGGAAUUUUAGUGUUGAUUGGUGUCCCAAUUUUCCUUGCUUCGUUUGCUAAUUUGUCUGCGAUAUCAUUACCUGUUAUAUCAGUGUGACUUUUUAUAUGGUAUAAAUUUAUUUCGUAUAGUUCUUUGAUGUGUUUUAUUGCUUUUUAUUUUAUAGACUAUUGGGUUAGUAUUGUGUGCGUUCGCGAUGGCCUGAAGGGAUGAUUGGCUGUCGGAGAAUAGUGCGAAUUUUGUUUUUUCGGGGUAGGUUGUAAUUUUUGUUAAUGCUGCUUUUAUUGCUAUUAGUUCAGCUUCAAAUAUUGUUGCAGCUCCUCUUGUUUUCCUCGAUACUGACCCGUCUGUAUAGAUUUGUAGUGUUUGGGUUAACUCUAUUUGUUUUAUAUUUUCGAUCGGUUUAAAGGGGAAGGAGAUGGUGUCUGCCGGAUUAAUUUUUCGAUAUGUCUAAUGAGUGUUGAAUGGUUGUGUGUAGGUAUUCUUUGUUAUCGAAACUGUAGUUUUUUUUGUUUUGAAAAAUUUCGAAGGUGCCUAUUUCUUUCUUUAGUACUAAGUCUAGUGGUUUUAGAUUUGUUAAUAUGUUUAAACUUGAGUUACUGACUGUUUUGUAGGCUUUUGAUAUUUUUAACAUUGGGAUUCUUUGUAUUGACUUUAGUUUUCUAAGUAGGUGUGAAUUGUUUGUCUCUUUCCAAUAGAAUGGUGCCGCAUAUGUGAUUGAUCUUUCAAUAGAUCUUACGUAGAUUUCUCUAAAUUGUGCUUGGUUAAUUCCCCAUUUGAUUCCUGAGAAGGAGGCUAAUGUUAUGGUGUUUUGAUAUGUUUUUGCUUUGAGGUAGUUUAGAUGAGGUAUAAAUGAUAGGUUUCGGUCAAUGAUUAUUCCUAGAAUUUUUAUUUCUUCGGUGUGUUUUAGGUUUUGCCCUCCAAGUUUGAUUAGGGGUGGCCUUUUUUAUAGUUGUUUCCAAUGGUUGUAUACAACGAUAUGGUUUUAUUGAAUUUGACUCCAUAUGUUUUGCUCCAAUUGUUUAUUUUCUCUAAUACUGAAUUGGCUGUUUGCUCUAUCUGUGCCCUGGUUUUCCCGUUAAUUACGAGUGUAAUGUCGUCUGCAAAUGCUUGUAUAUGUGUUCCUUCUGGGAAAUUUUCUUCUAGUAGAUUUGUUAUAAAAAUGUUCCAAAUGAGAGGGCUUAAUGGUGAUCCUUGAGGGCUGCCUAUUGGUGCUGUUAUUUCUAUAUUACCUGAUUGGAGGUUGUAAGUUAUUUUUCUUUCUUCGAGUAUUUCUUAUAGUAAUAUAUAGAGAUUUCGUGGGAGGGAUUGAUCUUUAAGUUUUUUUAAUACGUGCGGGAUCCAGACUAUUAAAAGCGUUGGUUAUAUCUAAUGAUAUGAUUAUACUUUUCUCAUCGUUGCUUUUGUUAUCGAUUAUUUUUUUUAUUUUAGUAGUGCUUUAGUGGCUGAUGUUCUGUGUGUAAAUCCGUAUUGUUUGGGGUUGAGAAGUUUGUUGGUAUAGAGGAAGUGGUAUAUUCUAUUAUUGAGUAGUUUUUCUAAGAUUUUUCCGAUUGUUGAGUUUAUGCAUAUUGGGCGAUAUGUUGAAACUUCGUCUUCUGGUUUGGAUUGUUUAGGAAUUAAAAUUGUUUUACUUUCCUUCCAGUUUUUGGGGUAGUAUCCGUAUUCGAGACAUCCAUUGAAUAUUUUAAUUAGUAGUUGUGUGUGUGCAGCCAAUAAUGCUUUUACAAUUGUGGGGGUUAGGUUAUCUGGUCCAGGUGUUUUCUUAGUUGGGGUAUUUUUUAAUGAUGUGUUCUAUUUCUGAGUAUGUAAAGGGUUUGUCGUCUUCGGUUUGGGGGGCUUGUUCUGUAUAUAUUUUAGUAUCUCUUUGCUGUUUUGCAUAUUGUUCUGGUUGGUCUUUUGGAAAAUGGCUAUUAAUUAUGGUUUCAAUUGAUUCUUUGAGGGUAGUUGAUUUAGUUCCGUCAGCUUUUUUAUAGGGGGAUUAUUAUAGGUCUCUUUAUUUUGUUAAGUGCUAUUUUAUAGGGAAUGUCAAAUAGAUUCUUUUUGGUGGCUUCUGUGCAGAAGUUUUGCCAGGAUUCCGUUUUCACUUUAUGUUGUUUUUGUAUGUUUUCUGGGCUUCCACAUAUAAGCUUUUGUAAUUUUCUUUUAGUUGGUUUUGACAUUUCUGAUGUCGUCGAUGUGCUCUAACUCUUUUCCUUUCGGUGUCUAAUUCUGGGGUCCACCAGGGGUUUUGUCCUGUUGAUUCUUUAAUUUUCUUGGAGUGUUUUUUGUACAUUUGUUCUAAUCUCUUUGGUGUCUCAUUUAUGAUUUGUUCGAGGUUUUCUUUGUUUUUUAUAUGUUUCCCGUUGAUUUUGCUUAGUGUUCUGUCUGCUCUUGUUGAUUCUAUUAGCCCUAUUUCGCCUUUUUUGGUAAGCUUUUUGGCUGUUUUGGAUAUUGAUUUAAAUAUAUCUAUAUUUAUGUA
rnacentral:lncRNA from 1 species